rnacentral:rRNA from 1 species
GACCUCGGAUCAGGUAGGGAUACCCGCUGAACUUAAGCAUAUCAAUAAGCGGAGGAAAAGAAACCAACCGGGAUUGCCUCAGUAACGGCGAGUGAAGCGGCAAGAGCUCAAAUUUGAAAGCUGGCUCCUUCGGGGUCCGCAUUGUAAUUUGCAGAGGAUGCUUCGGGUGCACCCCCCGUCUAAGUGCCCCGAGAACGGGCCGUCAUAGAGGGUGAGAAUC